UACGUAGGGGGCAAGCGUUGUCCGGAUUCAUUGGGCGUAAAGGGCGCGUAGGCGGCAAUUCAAGUCAGCUGUGAAAUCUCCGAGCUUAACUCGGAACGGUCAGCUGAUACUGCUUGCUAGAGUGCAGAAAGGGCAAUCGGAAUUCUUGGUGUAGCGGUGAAAUGCGUAGAUAUCAAGAGGAACACCUGAGGCGAAGGCGGGUUGCUAGGCUGACACUGACGCUGAGGCGCGAAAGCUAGGGUAGCAAACGGG
rnacentral:rRNA from 1 species